rnacentral:rRNA from 1 species
GACGAACGCUGGCGGCGUGCCUAAUACAUGCAAGUCGAACGCAUUUUCUUUCAACGUAGCUUGCUACACCGAGAGAAAGUGAGUGGCGAACGGGGGAGUAACACGUCGUUAACCUGCCCAUCAGCGGGGGAUAACACUCGGAAACAGGUUCUAAUACCGCACAGUUCCAUUUACCGCAUGGUAGAUGGGUGAUAGGCGCUUUUGUGGCACUGUUGGAUCGUCCUGCGGUGGUUUAGCUAGUUGGUGGGUUAGCGGCCUACCAAGGCUGCGAUGCAUAGCAGACAUGCGAGGGUGGUCAGCCACACUGGGAGGGAGACACGGCACAGACUCACACAGGUGGGAGCAGUAGUGAAUCGUCAGCCAUGGGUGGAAGUCUGACCGCGCAACGCCGAGUGAGUGAAGAACGUCUUCGGGUUGUGAAACACUGUUGUCAGAGAAGAACAAGCAUGAGAGUGGAACGUUCAUCCCUUGACGGUAACUAAUCAGAAAGCCACGGCUAACUACGUG